GGAGAACUGGGCCAACGAGCGACCACCCCACAGCUGGCACCUACUGGGCGGCCCCCAGCUCUCUGCAGAUGCGAAAGGUUUCUCAGUGGCAAGCCGACACUCCGGGUCCUCCUGGCUCCAUUCACUGCCAUUGUCCAUGUCUUCUGAGAGGUGUGAGGUGAGACUCACCUGACAGCUGAGAGCCUGGCCGGGAGAUCCACGCUGCAGAGGCCAAUGCUGGACUUCCCCUCCCCUCUUCAACCAGGUAACGGUGGUGCUCUCAAGGCUGGCA
rnacentral:lncRNA from 1 species